UACGGAGGGUGCAAGCGUUGUCCGGAAUCACUGGGCGUAAAGGGCGCGUAGGCGGCUCAUAAAGGCUGUGGUGAAAGUUCGGGGCUCAACCUCGAAUCGGCCGUGGCGACUUGUGGGCUGGAGCACUGUAGAGGCGGGUGGAAUUCCGGGUGUAGCGGUGGAAUGCGUAGAGAUCCGGAGGAACACCGGUGGCGAAGGCGGGACUCUGGGCCGAUACUGACGCUGAGGAGCGAAAGCGUGGGGAGCAAACAGG
rnacentral:rRNA from 1 species